CUUGUUGGUAGUUAUUAUGCCACUGCCUCCGUUCUCUUCUAACCUUUCACUAAAUCGACGAGUCCUGCUCUUGCUUCACCUACCCCCCCGACUCUCUCUCUCUGUCUCUCUCUGCGCCAAAACCCACUUCUCUUUUUCAUCUAUGGAGGCCUCUAUUGCUCUCUCUCGCGUAGGUCUCGCUGGCCUCGCUGUCAUGGGUCAGAAUCUGGCCCUCAACAUAGCCGAGAAGGGGUUCCCUAUCUCCGUCUACAACCGGACUGUCUCCAAGGUUGAUGAGACCAUCCACCGCG
rnacentral:misc_RNA from 1 species